rnacentral:rRNA from 1 species
GACGAACGCUGGCGGCGUGCUUAACACAUGCAAGUCGAACGGAGAGGCCCUGCUUUUGUGGGGUGCUCGAGUGGCGAACGGGUGAGUAACACGUGAGUAACCUGCCCUUGACUUUGGGAUAACUUCAGGAAACUGGGGCUAAUACCGGAUAGGAGCUCCUGCUGCAUGGUGGGGGUUGGAAAGUUUCGGCGGUUGGGGAUGGACUCGCGGCUUAUUAGCUUGUUGGUGGGGUAGUGGCUUACCAAGGCUUUGACGGGUAGCCGGCCUGAGAGGGUGACCGGCCACAUUGGGACUGAGAUACGGCCCAGACUCCUACGGGAGGCAGCAGUGGGGAAUAUUGCACAAUGGGCGGAAGCCUGAUGCAGCAACGCCGCGUGCGGGAUGACGGCCUUCGGGUCGUAAACCGCUUUCGCCUGUGACGAAGCGUGAGUGACGGUAAUGGGUAAAGAAGCACCGGCUAACUACGUG